rnacentral:rRNA from 1 species
CGGAGGAUCCAAGCGUUAUCCGGAUUUAUUGGGUUUAAAGGGUAGCGUAGGCGGUUUAGUUAAGUCAGCGGUGAAAUUUUAGGUUGCUUAACACCAAACGUAGCCGUUGAUACUGCUGGGCUAGAGAGUAGUUGCGGUAGGCGGAAUGUAUGGUGUAGCGGUGAAAUGCUUAGAGAUCAUACAGAACACCGAUUGCGAAGGCAGCUUACCAAACUAUAUCUGACGUUGAGGCACGAAAGCGUGGGGAGCAAACAGGAUU